UACGUAGGAUGCAAGCGUUAUCCGGAAUUAUUGGGCGUAAAGCGAUCGAAGGCUGAGGAGCAGGUCUGAUAUUAAAUACCCACGGCUUAACCGGGGUUUCGUAUCGGAAACCACUUUUCUAGAGGAAGACAGAGGCAGGUAGAAUUUCCAUUGUAGGGGUUAAAUCCGUAGAUAAUGGAAGGAAUACCAAAAGCGAAGGCAGCCUGCUGGGUCUUUUCUGACGCUGCGCGAUCGAAAGCGUGGGGAGCGAAAGGG
rnacentral:rRNA from 1 species